AAUUGGAGGGCAAGUCUGGUGCCAGCAGCCGCGGUAAUUCCAGCUCCAAUAGCGUAUAUUAAAGUUGUUGCAGUUAAAAAGCUCGUAGUUGAAUUUCGGGAUCAAUAUUUCGGUCAUGCCGUUGGUAUGCACUGUUAUCAUUGAUUUCUCACCUUCUAAAGAACCGUAAUGCCAUUAAUUUGGUGUUACGGGGAAUUAGGACUGUUACCUUGAAAAAAUUAGAGUGUUUAAAGCAGGCUCACGCUUGAAUACAUUAGCAUGGAAUAAUAAAAUAGGACAUCCGAUUCUAUUUUGUUGGUUUCUAGGAUCGAUGUAAUGAUUAAUAGGGAUAGUUGGGGGCAUUAGUAUUCAAUUGUCAGAGGUGAAAUUCUUGGAUUUAUUGAAGACUAACUACUGCGAAAGCAUUUGCCAAGGAUGUUUUCAUUAAUCAAGAACGAAAGUUAGGGGAUCGAAGACGAUCAGAUACCGUCGUAGUCUUAACCAUAAACUAUGCCGACUAGGGAUCGGAUGAUGUUAAUUUUUUAAUGACUCAUUCGGCGCCUUACGGGAAACCAAAGUGU
rnacentral:rRNA from 1 species